rnacentral:rRNA from 1 species
GACGAACGCUGGCGGCGUGCCUAAUACAUGCAAGUCGAACGAGAGCGACCGGUGCUUGCACUGGUCAAUCUAGUGGCGAACGGGUGAGUAACACGUGGGUAACCUGCUCAUCAGAGGGGGAUAACAUCCGGAAACGGAUGCUAAAACCGCAUAGGUCUUCGAGCCGCAUGGCUUGAAGAGGAAAAGAGGCGCAAGCUUCUGCUGAUGGAUGGACCCGCGGUGCAUUAGCUAGUUGGUGAGGUAACGGCUCACCAAGGCCGUGAUGCAUAGCCGACCUGAGAGGGUGAUCGGCCACAUUGGGACUGAGACACGGCCCAAACUCCUACGGGAGGCAGCAGUAGGGAAUCUUCCGCAAUGAACGCAAGUCUGACGGAGCAACGCCGCGUGAGUGAAGAAGGUUUUCGGAUCGUAAAACUCUGUUGUUAGAGAAGAACAAGUGCUAGAGUAACUGUUAGCGCCUUGACGGUAUCUAACCAGAAAGCCACGGCUAACUACGUG